rnacentral:lncRNA from 1 species
GCAGCACAUGCAUGGAGCAUUAAAUACAGAUAAAAAAUAACUAAUUACACAGUUUACCUGUUAUUUGGGAGAUAAAUUUUUUGAGCCUAGUUAAUUUAUAAGUAGACAAUAUUUGUCAAAUAUAAACAAAAGUACUGUAGUGUCUAUUUUGCAAAAAAAAAACUAAACAAGACCUAAACAAAGACUUUAGCAAUAGGGCAG